GAGUUUGAUCCUGGCUCAGGAUGAACGCUGGCGGCGUGCUUAACACAUGCAAGUCGAGCGAUGAAGUUUCCUUCGGGAAACGGAUUAGCGGCGGACGGGUGAGUAACACGUGGGUAACCUGCCUCAUAGAGUGGAAUAGCCUUCCGAAAGGAAGAUUAAUACCGCAUAAUGUUGAAAGAUGGCAUCAUCAUUCAACCAAAGGAGCAAUCCGCUAUGAGAUGGACCCGCGGCGCAUUAGCUAGUUGGUGGGGUAACGGCCUACCAAGGCGACGAUGCGUAGCCGACCUGAGAGGGUGAUCGGCCACAUUGGGACUGAGACACGGCCCAGACUCCUACGGGAGGCAGCAGUGGGGAAUAUUGCACAAUGGGGGAAACCCUGAUGCAGCAACGCCGCGUGAGUGAUGAAGGUUUUCGGAUCGUAAAGCUCUGUCUUUGGGGAAGAUAAUGACGGUACCCAAGGAGGAAGCCACGGCUAACUACGUGCCAGCAGCCGCGGUAAUACGUAGGUGGCGAGCGUUAUCCGGAUUUACUGGGCGUAAAGGGAGCGUAGGCGGAUGAUUAAGUGGGAUGUGAAAUACCCGGGCUCAACUUGGGUGCUGCAUUCCAAACUGGUUAUCUAGAGUGCAGGAGAGGAGAGUGGAAUUUCUAGUGUAGCGGUGAAAUGCGUAGA
rnacentral:rRNA from 1 species